CAGUUCACAGAGAAGGAAGCAGCAAGAAGAAACAUUGGCAAAGGGGGCUUCUUUGACCACAGACUGAUAUUGGAUCCGUAGUAGAGUACACCAGUGGGCCUGGACCAAUCAAUGACUGCCGCAUAGAGCAACAGCUGCAAGAGGUGGUUGCUUUAAAUUGCAAAAAAAAGCACACAGAGGGAGAAGCAAGUGGAGAGAAGCAAGCAUUCAAGAAGUAGGAGAGAGAGGGCACUCAAAGACAGCAGCAGAAGGCAGCAGCACUUGGAAGCAGAGAAGAAGCAUCAGCAGAACGAGCUCCCUUGGCCAGCAGACUGGUAUUGGACCCUUGACGGAGUGAGUGACUCUGAACCCAAGCAAGAUGUCCUGAGAUUUGAAAGCACAGAAGAGUUUCCCAGCAACGGAGUCAACUUUGAUCAUUUGAUGAUUAAAGCAGCUUCAUCAGUGAGGCUUAGACUAGCCACUCCCCUACUGGUCUCAGCUUGAGUCUUGCUCAAAACAAGCUCAGAUUCCAGGCUCAAAGCUUUCUGGGACACAGCAAAGGAACAUCCCAGAUGGAGAAGAAAGAGGCAAGCACAGAGGUUUCAGAUGAGAUUCCACUAUCCCA